rnacentral:misc_RNA from 1 species
CAACCCUCAAACCCUCGGGUUUGGUGUUGGGGAUCGGAUUGACUUGUCAAUCCGUCUCCGAAAUCUAGUGGCGGUCUCGCUGCAGCCUCCAUUGCGUAGUAGCUAACACCUCGCAACUGGAACGCGGCGCGGCCAUGCCGUUAAACACCCAACUUCUGAA